GUUGUUGGGUAGGGGAGCGUUCUGUAAGCCGUUGAAGGUGUCCUGUGAGGGGUGCUGGAGGUAUCAGAAGUGCGAAUGCUGACAUAAGUAACGAUAAAGCGGGUGAAAAGCCCGCUCGCCGGAAGACCAAGGGUUCCUGUCCAACGUUAAUCGGGGCAGGGUGAGUCGACCCCUAAGGCGAGGCCGAAAGGCGUAGUCGAUGGGAAACAGGUUAAUAUUCCUGUACUUGGUGUUACUGCGAAGGGGGGACGGAGAAGGCUAUGUUAGCCGGGCGACGGUUGUCCCGGUUUAAGCAUGUAGGCGGAGGUUCCAGGUAAAUCCGGUUCCUUGUUAACGCUGAGGUGUGAUGACGAGGCACUACGGUGCUGAAGUAACAAAUGCCCUGCUUCCAGGAAAAGCCUCUAAGCAUCAGGUAACAUCAAAUCGUACCCCAAACCGACACAGGUGGUCAGGUAGAGAAUACCAAGGCGCUUGAGAGAACUCGGGUGAAGGAACUAGGCAAAAUGGUGCCGUAACUUCGGGAGAAGGCACGCUGAUAUGUAGGUGAAG
rnacentral:rRNA from 1 species